GCCGUCCAGCCAAUAGGGUGGAUAUGACUUUUGGCUUGUAACCAAGGGGCUCGGGUUCGAAUCCCGAAUAAGGCA